rnacentral:rRNA from 1 species
UACGUAGGGUGCAAGCGUUGUCCGGAAUUAUUGGGCGUAAAGAGCUCGUAGGCGGUCUGUCGCGUCGGCUGUGAAAACUCGGGGCUCAACUCCGAGCUUGCAGUCGAUACGGGCAGGCUAGAGUUCGGCAGGGGAGACUGGAAUUCCUGGUUUGGCGGUGAAAUGCGCAGAUAUCAGGAGGAACACCGGUGGCGAAGGCGGGUCUCUGGGCCGAUACUGACGCUGAGGAGCGAAAGCGUGGGGAGCGAACAGG